CGUGAGCCACCGCGCCCAGCCAAUAGCUUUCUUUUCUUAUUGUUCUCCAUGGCCUUAACUUUGCUCUCUUAAACUUCUCUCUGUUCACUCGGGACCUAGGUUGGUGGAGGUCCUGACUUGCAUAGCUGUACCAUCUGGAAUGUGGGACCUCCCCACUUACUGCAGAGGGAGGGGAGGAGAGACUGGAACUAAGGAGUGGACCUUCAUUGGCUUAGCCUGGAGGUGACACAUGUCACUUCUGCUCACAUUUUGUUGUCCAGGACUAGUCAGGCGGCUUUGCCUAACUGAACAGAAUGCAGGAAAUGUAGGGGAGGACACAGGUUAUAUGUCUCCACUACAGGGCCAUAUAGACCAAAUGGACUACCUAUUCGAUUGUUGGAAGGAAGUUGUUAGGUCCACGUAGUCUUGUCCUUGCACCCAUUUUUCUUGAUAGAGGGCUUCAAAGCUCCCUGUCCUGGUCAUGCUGUUAACAUGCUCCAAUUUUAUCUGAUGGCAUAGGGGACAUAGAAUUGAGCACUGUUGGC
rnacentral:lncRNA from 1 species